rnacentral:lncRNA from 1 species
AGAAUUCUUCUACUUAGCCUUGUCCCUACCUCUUUACUCCUCUGUAGGCAGUAAUUCUUUUUUCUUUUCUUUCUUUUUUUUUUCUUUUGGUGUAACAGUAUCGCAUGAGCCAAGACUGUCAUGAAACUAUUUGGAUACUGUACUCUGGUUCCUUCAUCUCCUCCAUCUGCAUCAGCCUAAAUUGUCCUAUCUGUCUUUUGUUACAGGAGCCUCUGCCAUGAACCCGGGGAUAAGUGAGGAAAGAAAUUUUUCCUCCUUCACAGUAUCAAGUGCCAGGCCAGGGCACUUUGUCCAGGCCUCACUGUGAAGAAAGAGUAAUGUUCAAGGAUGGCAGCAGGAAGGACCCUAAUGAAGAGGUUUAUCUGAUUGGUUUACUGGAGUCCUAUGUGGGAUGAAUAGCUUCAGCCUUUGCGCUUGCACCUCUUUGCUGUCCACUCCAAUCAAGAACGGGGGCCCUCGCAACUCUCUCAGUUCUGAAACAAAUUAAAUCUCAGUGACAGAC